rnacentral:rRNA from 1 species
UACGUAGGAGGCAAGCGUUGUCCGGAAUUACUGGGCGUAAAGAGCGCGUAGGUGGCGCUGUACGACUGGUGUGAAAGCCCCCGGCUCAACUGGGGAGGGUCAUCGGUAACGGCAGUGCUUGAGUGCAGGAGAGGGACGUGGAACUCCGGGAGUAGCGGUGAAAUGCGUAGAGACCCGGAGGAACACCAGUGGCGAAGGCGGCGUCCUGGUCUGCAACUGACGCUGUGGCGCGAAAGCUAGGGGAGCGAACGGG